UUAAACCCAAAGAAUUUGGCGGUACCUUAUUCUAUUUAGAGGAACCUGUCCCAUGAUUGAUAGUUCACGAUUAAUUUUACUUAAUCUAUUUGUUUGUAUAUCUCCGUUAUCAGAAAAUCUUUUUAGAGUUUUAAUUUUCAGGAUUUUUUAUUAUGAAGUAUUUCAGGUCAAGGUGCAGCUUAUGAUUAAGAGGAGGUGGGUUACAAUAAAUUUUUGUUUAUUACGGAAUAUUUUUUGUAAUAUUAAUAUAAAGGUGGAUUUAAUAGUAAAUUGAUUUAUUUAAUUUGAUUGAUAUUAGCUCUGAGGUGUGUACACAUC
rnacentral:rRNA from 1 species